GAUGAAGAACGUAGCGAAAUGCGAUAAGUAAUGUGAAUUGCAGAAUUCAGUGAAUCAUCGAAUCUUUGAACGCACAUUGCGCCCGCCAGUAUUCUGGCGGGCAUGCCUGUUCGAGCGUCAUUUCAACCAUCAAGCCCCAGGCUUGUGUUGGGGACCUGCGGCUGACGCAGGCCCUGAAAACCAGUGGCGGGCUCGCUGUCACACCGGGCGUAGUAGAUUUUAUCUCGCUCAGGGCGUGCUGCGGGUUCCGGCCGUUAAAAAGCCUUUUUUACCCAAGGUUGACCUCGGAUCAGGUAGGAAGACCCGCUGAACUUAAGCAUAUCAAUAAGCGGAGGA
rnacentral:misc_RNA from 1 species